UGAUAAUAGAACAAAUUGAGAGAUUUAAUAAAUGGAAAUCUGUACUAAGUGCAGAAUCUCAGGAAAACAGUGAAAAAUAUAUGUAUAACAACAUUCGCCUUUGCAACAGACAUUUUGAAAAGUGCUUCAUACUACCAUCAAAUAGACUUAUAACAAUAUUAAUUUAUUUGUUUGUAAAUAUUUCAGACCUAAAUUAUGCAGCUCACAUCGAAAUUGAUCAACCACAGUUGUUGAGUGGAAUUGUGCUGACUUCAAGUAUGAAUAAUAUGACAAAAAUUGAAAGUGUAUCAUACAGAAACAAAUGUUCGAUAAUGACAAAAUUUUAUGGAAAAAUUAUAAGGAGCACAUAAAAUGUCUGAAACAUGAAAAUUAAGAUUGAUGCACUAUAUUGGAAGCAGAAGGUUAUAAGAAGAACUGAUUCAGCAAGGAAUGUGAACUCACAAGGGAUCUUAAUUUUUUUUUAAAUAUGUUUAUAAUUUAUAAAUUAAUAAUUGAAAUAGUUCAUAUGAACUAAAUUGAUACCAAUUUUGUUUUAAGAUAGGUUGUUUAGUUCUUAUAGUUAUAUU